rnacentral:lncRNA from 1 species
CUCUUUUCAGUAGCUCUUGGCAGACCUACCUUCACAUUUUCUUGACUAAAAACAGUCAUUAAAAAAAGUCAGUCACAAACAGGUGAAUUUAAAUUAUCAUGGUUUACCUAUGCUUAACAAGCUUUAUCCUCAGAGGUAAGGAUAGGGUUACUUUCCUGAAUUUUAGAUAUGUGGAAAUAUUUGGAGUUAUGUCAAUAAAUGAAAAAGUGUGAUGGAUAUAGUGCUUGCCAUGGAAUAUACCAAAUACAGAUAUUCUGAAAACUUUAAGUUCAGUAAUAUGCCAGGGGUUCCCAAGACCACUUGAGACCUGGUAAUUUAUUGGAAGUCUCUAAGGGAAUCAGAAGCUGUAGUACUCAUUGUUACAGUAUAUUACAGUAAAAACAGUACAGAUAGAAGUCAGCUAAGAGAAAAGACAAAUGAAGUGAACUCCAGGAGAAACCAAGUCCAAGCUCUCAGGUGUCCCCUCCCAGAGCAGUUGCAUGGGGACAUGUUUAAUUAUCCCAGCAACAAUAUGUAAAGUACAAAGCAUUGCCAACCAGGAACACUCGCUGGAGUCUAGUUGUCGAAGGUGUUUACUGGGAUCAGUCACAUAGUCAUGUAAUGCCCAUAUGAUUGACCUCAGCUCCAUGACAUUUAAGCACAACUUUCUUCCUACACCCAGAGUAAAAACAGAUGUUCACAUAAGUCACGUUGAUAACAUAACCUUUUCUGGUCCAACUGGGAGAGUAUGGCCCAAGACUUUAGGAAAACAAGAACACUUUUAUCAAGCAAAAUACUCCAAGGGCUCAGAGAUGAACUCCUAGUCUAAGGUCUAGUCCUGCAGAGGGACCCCUCUUUGGAAUGUAUAGUAUUUGAGUAAUUCAGGCCAGUCAAGUUAAACCUUUUCACCCAUGCCUAAAUGCUAUUUAAUAAAUGUAAAUAACAACGAUGAGAUAGUUUAUUAAACAUUUUUAUUGAAAUACACAAAUAGUAUAUAGUUAAUUAAUUUUAACAAAGUGAUUGUACAUAUUUCACAAUAAAAUUCCCUUAAAUUACCAUCUGCUCUAUCUGCAAGUAAUUAUUAUUCUGAUUGCUAAUAACAUAGACUUUUUUUAACCUAUUUUUGAACUUUUAUAAUAGAAUUAAACAAUAUAUAUUCUUUUCUGGAUGGCUUCUGUUACUCAGAAAUAUAUUUAGGAGAGUCAUCAAAGCUCUCUUGGGUAUACCAUUUAUCCUUCUUGCUUGAUAAUGCUCCAUGUAUGUAUAUAUAUGCUAUGAUGUGUUUAUUUUACUCUUGAUGGAUAACUGCAAAACUUCCAAUUUAAGCUGUUGUGAAUAAUUCUUUAAUAAAAAAUUUUGUACAUUUGCUGAAUAUGUUUAUGUGUUCCUGUUGGAUGAUAGUAGCAGAAUUAUUGGUCACAGGGUAUGCAUAUACUUAAUUUUAACAGAUAAGGUCAAAUACUUUCCAAAUUCAUUUUAACAAUUACAGUCAACCUGCAUUGUUUUAGAGCCCCGAUUGCAGGGUCAUUUUGGAUUAGUUUGUCUUUCUCUUAUUGAUUUUAAUGGAUAGUGUUAGGCUGUAAAUAAAGUUAUUUAUGCAUAGUAAGAACUUUCUCAACAAAUUUUACUCAGACUUCUGCUCUACGCUAAGAACUAGCUCUGGAAAUUAAUUCACAGAAAGAACAUGGUUAGGGGCCAUCCUGAGGGAUUUACCUCACUAGGGAUAUAUAUUUACAUUUCAAGAGAAGAUGAGACCCAGUAGAUGCAUCCCAGAAGUUACAAAGCUGGAGACUCUAGUGUUAUCUUUCCCCUAGAGUGAUUUAUUUUUAUCCAAAUGGUUAGAGUAAGAACUCAGAUUUUUUUCCAUUUUGUGACUAUGGAGACGCACUCAGAAGGGGGUCAGAGCAACUGGGUCACUCUUCCACAAAAAUGCUCAGGUUCUUUUUUCCAGAGUUCUUUGCCUACAGCAGAUCCCCUUACAUGUAGGACAUCUGGUUCUCACCACAUCACCACCACGGUAAGAAUUAGUGGAAAGGAGAGCUAGGUUAAGGGCAGCUGUUUCUUUCCUUCUCUGCAGCCUCUGGUACCAAGUACUGCAUGACAUGUGUCUCACAACAUUCCUGCCUCUGCACCUCUGUGCUACGACACUGGAUGAAUCUAUGGAGUGAGCAAUAGAAAGUCUCUGAACUGCCAGAAACAAAUUCAUUUUACAUGGAAGUGGCUUUAAAUCAAGCACAUUAACCUCAAUGAACUGAAAUUAAAUAUGUCUCUCUUCAACUUCCCCUUAGCUGAAUACUAAAAGUGCUGUAGGCUGGACCCGCACUACCUGACAGGGAGAUAAAUGACUAAAGGCAAAUGGGAGUCAAAACAGGCCUGGAAGUGGAAAUACCGUGACAUAAAAUAGAGGCACAGCAAAUUAUUCAAGAUGUCGACAAACAGCAUUGUUUCCAAGUUUUUGUUCCCUUACAAUCCUUGCCAUUGGCCAAUCUCUCAAAAUCCCGUGUUGCUUAACAUUUAGUAGCUUAGUAAAUAUUUUAAAUCUCAGAGAUUUUACCUAACUGAUACCAGGGUUUUUAAAAUUUGUUUAUAUAGAUUAAGCGUCUUUGAAGAAAUAACAGUAUGCAAAAAAUAUGGUUGCUAUUCUUCAUGUUAAAACUAUCUUAAACUCUUUUCCAGAGGAAAAAAUAACAAAAUAGAAACCAAGGAAGGUCUUUUGCUUGGUGAUUACAUAUAUUGAUUACCUGUGUAAGUUAAACAGAUUGGGAAAAGGAAAUAUCCAAAAUUGUGCCUAGAGUAUAUCAUGACAUCAUGUAUAUAUGUAAAUAAGUUAAUUUUUGCAAUCGCAACAUAGAGAAAAAUGUUAUUUUAAAUGAAUAAAAAUAAAUAGAACAUAAAGUAAUAUUUCAGCAUAUUAAAUUUAGGAGUAAAAACCUUUGACAUCCCUGAAAAUCUUUGGUAAAAAGUCCAGAUUAUGAUAACUUGGCUUUAAUGAACUAGGAAAUAGAUGGAUAAUAGCACACACAUUUUUAGCAUUGUAGGGAUUAUUUUCACUGGUUGUAGGAUCAACACACUUGGUUUAAAUAAUGGUUCUGAGAAUUUAAUUAAUUAAUUAAUUUAAUUCAUUUUUGUUAGGAAAAUAAAUUCAUUUCUAGACACAGGAUAUUUUACAAUUGGAUCGUAUUUCAAAAAAGAAUCACUGUGUUUUUAAUGAACAAAUGUCACAUAAAGAAGUCUUUUCAAAAAGUGCUUCAAAAACUUAAAUUUGAAAUAUAUGCAACGGAUCCACAAGAGCCAUGCGCAUGAAUUGCAUUUGCGGGCUGGAUUACCAAGGGCUUCUCUGAAAUGGCAAAGAAAAUAAUGUUUGAU